rnacentral:rRNA from 1 species
CCUACGGGUGGCAGCAGUGGGGAAUAUUGGACAAUGGGCGAAAGCCUGAUCCAGCGACGCCGCGUGAGUGAAGAAGUAUUUCGGUAUGUAAAGCUCUAUCAGCAGGGAAGAAAAUGACGGUACUUGACUAAGAAGCCCCGGCUAAAUACGUGCCAGCAGCCGCGGGAAUACGUAGGGGGCAAGCGUUAUCCGGAUUUACUGGGUGUAAAGGGAGCGUAGACGGCAGCGCAAGUCUGGAGUGAAAUGCCCGGGCCCAACCCCGGAACUGCUUUGGAAACUGUGAAGCUGGAGUGCAGGAGAGGUAGGCGGAAUUCCUGGUGUAGCGGUGAAAUGCGUAGAUAUCAGGAGGAACACCGGCGGCGAAGGCGGCUUACUGGACUGUAACUGACGUUGAGGCUCGAAGGCGUGGGGAGCAAACAGGAUUAGAUACCCCUGUAGUC